rnacentral:rRNA from 1 species
GACAGAGGUGCCAAGCGUUAGGCGGAAUCACUGGGCUUAAAGCGUGUGUAGGCGGAAUGGUAAGUACCUUGUGAAAUCCCACGGCUCAACCGUGGAACUGCUGGGUAUACUGCUUUUCUUGAGCCACUUAGGGGCUGUCGGAACAAACGGUGGAGCGGUGAAAUGCGUAGAUAUCGUUUGGAACGCCAAUGGUGAAAACAGGUUGCUGGGGAUGUGCUGACGCUGAGACACGAAAGCCAGGGGAGCAAACGGG